rnacentral:rRNA from 1 species
UACGUAGGGUGCGAGCGUUAAUCGGAAUUACUGGGCGUAAAGCGUGCGCAGGCGGUGAUGUAAGACCGAUGUGAAAUCCCCGGGCUUAACCUGGGAACUGCAUUGGUGACUGCAUUGCUGGAGUAUGGCAGAGGGGGGUGGAAUUCCACGUGUAGCAGUGAAAUGCGUAGAGAUGUGGAGGAACACCGAUGGCGAAGGCAGCUCCCUGGGCCAAUACUGACGCUCAUGCACGAAAGCGUGGGGAGCAAACAGG